UUGGUUCCGGUUCACCUCAGCCGCACCGCGCGUCUGGGGACCCGGCGACU
rnacentral:ncRNA from 1 species